rnacentral:rRNA from 1 species
GAUGAACGCUAGCUACAGGCUUAACACAUGCAAGUCGAGGGGUAACAAGAGAAAAGCUUGCUUUUCUUGUUGACGACCGGCGCACGGGUGAGUAACGCGUAUCCAACCUGCCUAUAACUAGGGAAUAACCUUGCGAAAGUAAGACUAAUGCCCUAUGACUUCCUUUGGCGGCAUCAACAAAGGAAUAAAGAUUGAUCGGUUAUAGAUGGGGAUGCGUCUGAUUAGCUUGUUGGCGGGGUAACGGCCCACCAAGGCAACGACCAGUAGGGGUUCUGAUAGGAAGGUCCCCCACAUUGGAACUGAGACACGGUCCAAACUCCUACGGGAGGCAGCAGUGAGGAAUAUUGGUCAAUGGGCGGAAGCCUGAACCAGCCAAGUAGCGUGCAGGAUGACGGCCCUAUGGGUUGUAAACUGCUUUUAUACAGGGAUAAAGUUAGCCACGUGUGGUUAUUUGCAGGUACUGUAUGAAUAAGGACCGGCUAAUUCCGUGCCAGCCGCCGCGGUAA